GCUGGGCAUGGUGGUGCAUGCCUAUAGUCCCAGCUACUCAGGAAGCUGAGGUGGGAGGAUCGCUUGAGCUUGGGGAGGUUGAGGCUGCAGUGAGCUGUGAUCGUGCCACUGCACUCCAGCCUGGGCAACAAAGAGAGACCCUAUCUCAA
ensembl:misc_RNA Metazoa_SRP Metazoan signal recognition particle RNA